UAACGGCGUGUGUUUUGGAAACCAGAGUUGAAGGAGACACGUCUUCAGUAAUUCAGACCAUUUACGAUUACAAUGACUUAAAGGAAUACGUAAUAAGCGAGGACGGAAAUUGCACAGAGCAAAGUAUACCGGGAAAUAGAAGUCUCGCAACCGACUUUCUUUGCAUUCCAGGAAUGGCCACAUGUGACGAUUACGUUACUCUCGG